CUUACUAAAUUUUGUUUCUUUUUGGAAAUGGAAAUCCUUGAAAGUUUGUUUCAAGAUUCAUAUUUCUUGAUUUUUUAUUUAAUUCAAAUUAAAAAUCAUUCAAUUUGGGCAUCUGAAUCAUUUAAAGUUCAAGUCAUAAUUUUAUUGUAAAUCUUCACCUCACCCGAGAUCAAGCUUUAUUCGAUGCUUUAGUGCUUGAGCAUUCUUCCCUUCAGAGGGGAGAUUUUUGCCUUUAAAGAUAGGUCAGGGA
rnacentral:lncRNA from 1 species